UGGAUCAGGUGAAGGAAAUUGCUUGUGGGCUAGAGCAGAGUGGGCAUCGAUUCCUGUGGUCUCUACGUCAACCACCACCGGAAGGGAAGAUGGAACCUCCAAGCGAUUACAAUCCUCGGGAUGUCUUACCUGAAGGAUUUUUGGAUCGGACGGCUAACACAGGAAAAAUAAUUGGAUGGGCCCCGCAGACAGAUAUUUUGGCCCAUCCAUCCGUAGGAGGGUUUGUAUCGCACUGUGGAUGGAACUCUAUAUUGGAAAGCAUAUGGUUUGGCGUUCCAAUUGCCGCGUGGCCAUUAUAUGCAGAGCAACAACUCAAUGCCUUUCAAAUGAUUGUUGAGCUCGGAUUGGGAGUGGAGAUUAAAAUGGAUUAUAGAAGAGAUUUUAACUGGGAUGGUACUGAAAAUGUCAUUAGUGCCGGGGAGAUCGAGAGAGGAGUAAGGUGUUUAAUGGAGCUUUGCGAUGAGAAAAGGGAGAAGUUGAAGGAGAUGAGUGAGAAGAGCAGGAAGGCUUUGGAGAACGGUGGAUCCUCGUUCACUUGGUUAGGUCGUUUCAUUCAAGAUACCGUGGACCGCCUGCCAUGAUUAAACUGUACUCUUUUCGUGUUAUUUAAUAAAACGCUUUCUUAAUAACCUGUUUUUAAAAAUAUGGUUGGGUUGUUUUUAAAAAAAUUCAUGUUAAAAUAAAUAAAAAUAUAUUUUUUUAUUUUUUAAAAAUUAUUUUUAAAAUCAGCAAAUAAAAAAAAAAUUCUUGUAAGAAAAAUUAAAUUUUUUCAAUAAUACGAUUUAAACUGUUUUUCUAAACGUUCUCCUAGUUCAUACUUAAAUGAUAUACCCGUGCAAUGUUCUAGGUUUAUAACAUGUUUGUGAGUUGUCAUGGAUAUAUGAAGAAAAAUUAUUGUAAUUUACAAUAUUUUUUUAAAAAUUAUUAUAAAGAUUCUUGACUAGAUUAAUAUUAAAAAUAAAAUCAACAAAGAUAAUUUUAAAAAAAUCUUUUUAAAAAACAUGGAAGGAAAAGUAUAAAACACUGUAGCAUUUAUAGUGUUUCAUUAGAUAGAAAAUCUAAAGUUUUAUGCCACUAUUACACUGUUUUUUAAAUAUUAAUAAAGUUUGUUUAAAUAUAUAAAUCAUUUAGUUUAAUCAAAAUCAAUCAAAGAUAACACAUUGUAAUUACAGAUAUUGUUUGUAAAAUUAAUAUUAUUAAAUGAUUUCCCCUUUUAUAUCCAUUAAAGAUAACAUAAUCCUUCAAUAGGUGAGAAAUUUUUUUUUCCUUAUUUCUUUAUUAUUUUUAUUGAAAUAGAUUAUGCAUACAUUACCUUCAACGUCAUUGUUAAUGUAUAAAAAUAAAUAUGUUUUAAUAAGAAAAUUCAUCGCAUCAAAUGAAAAAAAUAUUAUCAUCACUAAACUUUUAUAAAAUAUAUAAAAAAUCUAAUCAAUUUAUUCAAAAAUAUUACGCAAUAGAAAAGGGAAAAUAAUAUAAAUAUUAAUUUGAAGUAAAGGAAAAAACUUAAAAAAAAUUCAAUUUUAUAUUAAAAUAAAUAUUUUUUUAGAAUCAUAAAAAAAUAAUUUUAACAAAAACAAAAUUUAAAAUUUUAAAAAUCAUAAUUGAAACCGCAUUACUAAACAUAACCUUCAUUUUCUUUUUCAAACGUUAGUAUAAUCAUAAUUUAAACAUGAUUUCUGCAAUGCCUUUUAUUUGUCAGGUAAAGUGAAACUUUCUACGGCAAAAUUCUUUUAGUAAAUAAAGAAAGUGGAGAUGGGCCAGGCUUUCCUCGUACAAACUUGGGUCACAUCGCAUGUGCAUAGGAUCAGAAGAAUGUUGGAUCGGUUAAGCCCAUAUUUUGUAAUCAAUAACUUAGGCCGAUCCAAUACUUAUUUGAUUUUUAGAAAUUUGAAAUUACAUAUAUAUGUUAAUCGAACUAAUCGUAUUAUUACUUAUCAUUUUUUCUAAAAAUAUCAUCUUUCUUUCAAGAACUGUCCCUAUUCCCUAAGGGCAUUAUUUAUUUAUUUUUUUAGGAUACAACAGGGGAGCAUUUACCUGGUUUGUUUCAUUUUAUAGUAUUUUGCAUGUUGGCUUCGGCCUUAUAAUCUAUAAAAAAAGAAGAGGAAAAUGAAGAGAGAGAAAAAAGUGUCGAUGAUUAAACAAAGCAUAGAUCUAGAUAAUAUAGAUUAUAGUUGUUAAACUGGGUUCAGUAAUCUACUCAAAAUAAAAUUUAAAUCACUAAGUUACAAGGUGCAUAUCAAUUAUUUUUAUUAAAAUAUAGGUGGUAUUUGGUUCUAGAAUUUUUUUUUUUUAAAAAAAGAAAUUCUUAUUGUUGAUGUGUCUAGGUGGGACCUAGUUAAUAGGGUUAUUAAAUAAGUUUUUUUGGGUGUGUAUAUAUAACUUUAACUUGGCCCCGAUCAAAGUUAAAAUCCUUACUUUUUAAAAUUAAUUUAUCAAGUUAAAUUAAGUUUAAUCAUUAUGACAUUUGGUUUUUUUUCUUGAUUUAAAUUUCGAGAUUAGUGUUUAUUUUUUUAAAAAAAUACACCUAACUGAUACAAGAUGAUGUGUUUUUAAAGUUAUUCAUAACCUAAAUUUAAUCUCUAUUAACAUGAAUAUAUAUAUAUAUAUAUAUAUAAGCAUAGAAAAUUCAGCCCAUAAUAUGUAGUGAAAAACGUUGUCUUCUACUUUGAAUUUCAUAAAAGAGAUCUAAAUUUAAAUUGCUGACAGGGACGGCAUCCCUUUUUUUGGGUCUUCUUGACGAAUUGUAAAAGCAGUCCACAAUCACAGCAAAGCCAUGACCUCACCUAUAUCACAAUAAUAUGUAGCACCGGAAGUUCUCGUUCAGUAUGAAGUUGAAUGCAAGCCUAUGUCCAUCUCGUGUAGUUGAAGAGGCCCGCGACAAACCUCAAUUUCUUCUUGCUGCUAGUGCUUCUUGUUAAAGCAGCUUUCAGUUUUCUCUUAAUGUUACAAGCUGUUGUUGAUCUCGAUUGAGUUGACAAGUCAUCGCCAGCUUCUUCUUCUUCUUACCAUAAAAGAGCGCUCCGACCGUCAAGCGGGCAAAAGCUUGGCUUGGUAGGUUCCGGUGAACCUUUAGUCACAAAAAUUAAUAGGAUCCAUGAAUAAUAAUCAGUGAUUUUUCCUUUAUCAAACAGUUGGCUCUUUACUUUAAACACAACUUCUAACUCGUAAAGAAAAGGUAUCUUACUAUUUUUCUUAUCAAUUUCAAGGUUUUGUAUUAUAUGAAAGGACUUUUUGUGAUGUUUAUGAAUGUGGUCAAAAUAUUGUUAAGUGAAAAUUUAAAAUUAAUUUUUUAUAUAUUUUUAAUUGUUUUAAUGUAUUAUUCUUAAAAAUAUAUUAUUUUAAUAUAUUUAAAAAAAUACUAAAAUACCAAUCACGAACACAAGUGUCCAACAACCACAAUCAAUGGAUGCAGCCCACUAAGGACAAAUCGGGGAGGUUGCCAAUUGCCCCUAAAUUUAACAACUCUGGCCCCUCCAAGUUAAUAAUCUCGCAUAUUUGGUACCUUUCUUUCAGAAAAUUUGAAUUUUAUCCUUGCAAAAUGAAAAUUUUAAUAAAAGACUAUUUCUCUUAAUAAAUUUUACCAUCGAAAUAUAGAAGAUUAACUCUUCUCAAAAGAUGAUCAAUUUGUUCCUCUUCCCUCACCAUAUAAUCUUAGUUGAUCUUUGUUGGGAAAAUGAAUUCCCUAAGGAAUUGUGAGUUCCCGAAUGACUUGAGGAAGUACCUUUCAGACUCUGCUUGUCUCCAUUUCUAUUGGAUCGUUUGAGCUGUAUCAUGUCCUAUACACGACUUCCUCUACACGCAUAACCAAGAGGGCAUCGGUUGUAUUUUUGUACAGAGAAGUAUUCAAAGAGAUCUCAAUUUAAAUUUCUGACGGGGACGGUAUCGCAUUUUAUUGGGUCUUCUUGACGAAUUGUAAAAGCAGUCCACAAUGACACCAAAGCCAUGACCUCACUCUCACUCUUGUCCUGCACGUGCACGUAUAUAUUUUUUAACAGUAAAUUGCCAAUCUCAAGUCCACUUGAUUAUAGCUACCAGUAGUGCCCUUAAAAAGGAUAUGAAAAUCAGUCUUUUACAUGCAAUCCCACCUUGAAAUUCUCUAGCAAAUUGAGGGAAAAAAAACAGAGCUCAGUCGCAGAAUGAAGAAAGCAGAGCUGGUCUUCAUACCAACAACAGGUAUAAGCCACCUCCUAUCCGCAGUAGAGGUAGCAAAGCUUCUUGUAGACCGUGAUGAGAGGCUUUCAAUCACCUUCCUCAUCAUGAAACCACGUUCUGACCCCAAGACUGAUAGGUUUAUAAAUUCAGUGAGUACAGCCAGUAAUCGUAUCCGGUUCAUCGACUUGCCUAAAGAUGAGACUGAUCCAAACGACCCCAUCAAGAUCUUCUUUUCUUUCAUUGAAGCCCAGAACCCCGUGUCAAAGACGAAGUCUCUAAGCUUGUGAGCAGUCGAGUCAAGCCCUGACUCGCCUACACUUUCUGGGUUUGUUCUCGAUAUGUUUUGUACACCAAUGAUAGACGUGGCCAAUGAAUUUGGUGUUCCCUCAUAUAUUUCCUUACGUCAGGUGCAGCUUUCUUGGCCUCCAAUUUAUGUUCAGGCUCUUCACGAUGAGCAGAAAGUUGACCCUACUGAGUUCAAGGGCUCGGAUGCUGAGUUGGUCAUGCCGUGUUUGGCAAAUCCUCUUCCAGCUAAGGUCUUGCCUUUUUUGCUUGACAAAGAGUGGCUGCCAUCUUUCCUCGUCAAGCUAGAGGUUUAGAGAAACUAAGGGUAUUAUAAUAAACACAUUUGAAGAGCUGGAAUCUCAUGCGAUCCACUCCUUUUCUAAAGGUAAUACCCCUCCGGUAUAUCCAGUGGGUCCCAUUUUAAACCUUAAUAGAGAUGAUGGUGGUGGCGAGGAGUCUGAUAAAUACAAAGACAUCAAGCAAUGGCUCGAUGAUCAGCCCCUAUCCUCAGUAGUGUAUCUAUGCUUCGGGAGCAUGGGGGGUUUCAGAGUGGAUCAGGUGAAGGAAAUUGCUUGUGGGCUAGAGCAGAGCGGGCAUCGAUUCUUGUGGUCUCUGCGUCAACCACCACCGGAAGGGACGAUGGAACCUCCAAGCGAUUACAAUCCUCGGGAUGUCUUACCUGAAGGAUUUUUGGAUCGGACGGCUAACACAGGAAAAAUAAUUGGAUGGGCCCCCAGACAGAUAUUUUGGGCCAUCCAUCCGUAGGAGGGUUCGUAUCGCACUGUGGAUGGAACUCUAUAUUGGAAAGCAUAUGGUUUGGCGUUCCGAUUGCCGCGUGGCCAUUAUAUGCAGAGCAACAAUUUAAUGCCUUUCAAAUAGUUGUUGAGCUCGGAUUGGGAGUGGAGAUUAAAAUGGAUUAUAGAAGAGACUUUAACUGGGAUGGUAGUGAAAAUGUCAUUAGUGCCGGGGAGAUCGAGAGAGGAGUAAGGUGUUUAAUGGAGCUUUGCGAUGAGAAAAGGGAGAAGUUGAAGGAGAUGAGUGGAAAGAGCAGGAAGGCUUCGGAGAACGGUGGAUCCUCGUUCACUUGGUUAGGUCGUUUCAUUCAAGAUACGGUGGACCACGUCCAUGAUUAAACUGUACUCUUUUCAUGUUAUUUAAUAAAACGCUUUUUUUAGACCCUGUUUUAAAAGUGGUUGGGAAUGAGUUUUAAAAAACUUUCUUGGGCGCUGGGCCAACGGGAGUAGGAUCACUUAGCCAUACUUUAUAAUUGAAAAAACAAGUACUUUGGAAAUAUAUGCUACUCAGCCAAAGAAAAAAUUCUUGCCAAUAACCAUGACCGCUGAACCGCCGAAUAGAAACAUUAAUUAAUAUUUAAUUAAAAAAGGAAAUGAAAUUAACAUAUAUAACAUAAAAUUUCUCCACCGAUUCUUUCUAGUCGAGCCUCUGAGAAGUAGAAAGAAUUACAAUCCCCAUUCCACCUAAAAUUCUCACUUGACGCCCCUAUGCAUCUGUUAUAGUUAUUUCAUACCUUUUUUUUUUUUUUUUCCGUAUGAUUUUGCUUACUAUACUUGCUGCUGCUAUAGAAUAAUAAAUAAGAGCAUAAAUUCACUUACUUCGUCAGAAGGAUAUCAUUACAUAAUAUCUAUGAUUGUUUAUGUCUUUAACAGGACCACUUGAUUAAAUAUGGAGGAAAGUGGGAUAAAUGGUUAAAUCUCUUGUCUCCAGCUAUCGGAGAUCCCAUUUCCGUACCAACUCAAGAUAUGCUUAUGACGCUCUAUGUAUUAACAACCUAGAAUCGUCGAGGUAUUUGUGCAAAUAGGUCCUUUCAGGUAAAAUAAGAACAACUCCCAUGUUAAAAUAUAUAAAAAUAUUUUUUUUUUGUUUUUUUUAAAUUAUUUUUGAAAUCAGCACGUCCAAAACUUAUAGAAAAAAAAUUUGUAAAAAAAAAUUAAAUUUUUUUAAUAAUGUGUUUUAUACCGUUUUUCUCCAAGAUCAUACUUAGAUGCUAUGCCCGCGCAACGUUGUAGGCUUGUGACAUGUUUGUUUAUUGUUGUGGAUUUAUAUAAAAAAAAUUUAUAUGAAGAAAAUUUUUUGUGAUUCACAAUAUUUUUAAGAAAAAACUACAAAAAAUUCUUAACCAAUUUAAUAUUAAAAACAUAUUGAAGAUUUGGGAUGACCUCAGUCUUUAAUCUUGUGACUCAUGUGAUUGGGAUAUAAUUUAAUUAGUCAGAUUAUAAAUUUAUUUUUUAAUAAUUAUUAAUUCGAAUAUCAUAAAUUUCAAGGUUAUUGAAAAUUUACAUGAUUGUUAAUUUUAAAAUCUAUAAAAUUAAUCAAGAUACAUUUAAUUUAAUAGACCAAAUAUUUACAUUAAUGAAAUAAAAAAAUCUUGUGCUUCACAUGCAUGAUAUUUUAACAAAGAAUAGUCAAGUACACUUCAUUAUAGCCCCUUAUAGUGCACCUAAGAAGGACACGAAGAUCAAUCUUUUGCAUUCCUCCUAGAACUCUCCAGCUACUCGUUGUAAGCCGAGGAAAAAAAAACAAAGAGACCUCAAUUAAUUGCAGAAAUGAAGAAAGCUGAGCUAGUCUCCAUACCAGCACUUAAUGAAGAUUACCUUCCUCAUCAUGAGCCUAAGUUAUGACUCAAAGACCGCUUGCUAUAUUGAUUCAUUGAGUGCAACCGGCAAUCGAAUCUGGUUCAUUAAGUUGCCGUUGCCUGAAGAUAAGCCUGAACCCAGCAAGUUUCUCUUUUCUUUAAUUGGAACCCAAAACCCCAUAUCAAAGAAGUAGUUCAUGACACAUUUAUUCAUAUAAGUAAAUUUUUAUUUUAAGUUGAAAAUAAAAUAUAAAACCCAUCAAAACAAUAAAAUUAUAUUCAUACCACAAAUACAUUUGAUUUCAUGUAGGGUGUGUUGGGGUAUUAAUACCUUCUCUAAUCAAUAAUUUUUUUAAUUUUAAAAUUUAUAAUAAGAUUAAUGCAUCGAGUUUUUUAGUGAUUCUAAAUCAAACUAUUAGAAGGUGACUUUCUGAUUUCCUUACGCUAUUUGUCCACUUGCAGUAUUUAUAAUCUAAUAUAAGUAUUUUAACAUAAAAUAUUAACAUGUUUUUUAAAAAUUAAAAAAUCAAUUAAAUGUAAAUAUAAAAUUAUUCUUAAAAAACCUUUGGAUAACAAGGAUUUCAAGCUCAAAAUAGUUUUAUAGAUUGGACUAUGAGCAUAUGGGCUGAUGUUGAGCUUGGCUUUAAUUAAUGUAAGAUAUUUUAUUAUUAAGUUCAUGUUUUAUUAAUAUUAUUUUUAGUAUUAAAAAUAUUUUAAUACAUGAACCAAUUUAUUUAUUAAAUAAUGAGCGUUCAUAAUUUUUUCAUAAAUUAUAACUAAUUCAUGAAAAAAAUUAAGUCUACAUGCGAGCCCAUGCUGUGAACCUCAAAUCGGUCAAUGUCACGGAGAUGAAUAUUAUUGUUGUUGUCCAGCGGUUAUAUUAAUUCUAAACUAAUAUUAUUUGAUGCAAUGUAUAAUGAAGGUUAUGAAAUUUGUUAUACUAUGAAAAUUGUCAAAAAAAAUACAAUAUUUUUUUCUUUAUUUAAAAUUUGAGAUUAGUGCCUAAUUUGUUUUUAAACAUAACUGGUAUAAAGAUGAUAUGUUUUUAAAGUUAUUCAAAAACUAACUUCAAUCUCUAUUGACAUCAAUUAAAAAAAAAAAGAGCUCAGUCGCAUAAUGAAGAAAGCUGAGCUGGUCUUCAUACCAAAGUGUUGAUGAUUAAACCAAAGCAUAGAUCUAGAUAAUAUAGAUUAUAGUUGUUAAACUGGGUUCAGUAAUCUACUCAAAAUAAAAUUUAAAUCACUAAGUUACAAGGUCUCAUGUCAAUUAUUUUUAUUAAAAUAUAGGUGUUAUUUGGUUCUAGAAUUUUUUUUUUUUUAAAAAGAAAUUCUUAGUGUUGAUGUGUCUAGGUGCGACCUAGUUAAUAGGGUUAUUACAUAAGUUUUUUUGGGUGUGUAUAUAUAACUUUAACUUGGCCCCGAUCAAAUUUAAAAUCCUUACUUUUUUAAAAUUAAUUUAUCAAGUUAAAUUAAGUUUAAUCAUUAUGACAUUUGGUUUUUUUCUUGAUUUAAAUUUCGAGAUUAAUGUUUAUUUUUUUUAAAAAAAUACACCUAACUGAUACAAGAUGAUGUGUUUUUAAAGUUAUUCAUAACCUAAAUUUAAUCUCUAUUAACAUGAAUAUAUAUAUAUAUAUAUAUAUAUAUAAGCAUAGAAAAUUCAGCCCAUAAUAUGUAGUAAAAAACGUUGUCUUCUACUUUGAAUUUCAUAAAAGAGAUCUAAAUUUAAAUUUCUGACAGGGACGGCAUCCCUUUUUUUGGGUCUUCUUGACGAAUUGUAAAAGCAGUCCACAAUCACAGCAAAGCCAUGACCUCACUCAUAUCACAAUAAUAUGUAGCACCGGGAGUUCUCGUUCAGUAUGAAGUUGAAUGCAAGUCUAUGUCCACCUCGUGUAGUUGAAGAGGCCCGCGACGACAAACCUCAAUUUCUUCUUGCUGCUAGUGCUUCUUGUUAAAGCAGCUUUCAGUUUUCUCAUAAUGUUACAAGCUGUUGUUGAUCUCGAUUGAGUUGACAAGUCAUCGCCAGCUUUUAUCUAAAAAAUGCAAUGAUCUAUUCCACCAGCCAAGCAUAGAUAAAAGAUAUACGCGCUUCUUCUUCAUAUCAUAAAAGAGCGCUCCGACCGUCAAGCGGGCAAAUGCUUGGCUUGGUAGGUUCCAGUGAACCUUUAGUCAGAGAACUGGAUUGGCUUAGAGUGAAGUUUACCGUAGUAGAAAAGAGGAGCAUUCGGUGGAACCGGUACAGAAAUGGUUCCCAUUCGACUUGGGAAUUCCGUCUCUGGCUCGUGGGUUUAGGAUUGGCCUUCCUUCAUUAUUAUAAUUAUUAAUAUUAUUAUUAGUUGUCGUGACCGGUUAGGAUACUGAUAUUAAAGAAGCUAUAGGUCAUCAGUUGAUUCUAGAAUAAUUGUUUUUAUUAAAAUAGUAAUUUUUCUUCUAUUGAUUUGACGAGAGUCGAACGGAUUUGAUUGAUUUAAUAUUUUAACGGAUUUAACUAAAAACUUUAAAUGUCAAAUUUCUUAAGACCAAUCUGGUAAACUUCUAACAUACUACAAAACAUAUAUUGAUUUGUACAUUGAAAUUAUCACUUUAGCCUUAUUAAGAAAUACUCAAAGAACUUCAUUUUAAACAUAAAAAUUUCUUAAUUCAUUUAUCAUAGUUUAAAAAUUAAAAACCCCAUAGACAGAUUUACAAGUGGAAUGUAUUGGUCGACAUCUUACAAAAAAUUAAAACAUAUUUACCAAAAAUACAUCAAUCACCGACACCUUUACAAGCGGAUAAAGUCCGUUAGCAUUUUAUCAAGAGUUCAAAAAUAUUUACUGAAAAUGCCACAAUCACCUAUAUCUUUACAGACGGAUCGAGUAUGUCGGCAUUGUAUUGAGAGUUGAAAAAUAUUUACUAAAUAUGCCAUUAUAACCGAUGGAAUAUAUUUGUCAGUAUAUUUUAAGUGGGAAUUUUUUUUUACGCGUAUUUUCAGUCUGUAAAACCAUUAGUAAUUUUUUUUCUCUAGACAGAAGUAACAACGAAAUAUGGGAUUGCCGACGAACACUUUUCGUCGAUGAUUUUAUCAAAAAAAAAUUUACUAACGAAGUCUGAAUCUCACAUCGAUGAAUCCGGUCCAUCGGUGAAACUCUAAAAUCUUGCAAUGAUUAUUCUUAAAGAACCUUUGGAUAACAAGAGUUUCAAACCCAAAAUAGUUUUAUAAAUUUAACUAUUAGCAUGUGGGCUCAUGAGUUUGAGCUUGGCUUUGAUUAGUGUAAGAUAUUUUAUUAUUAAGUCCAUGUUUGAUUAAUAUUAUUUUUAGUGAUAAAAAUAUUUUAAUAAAUGAACCAAUAUAUUAAUUAAGUUAUAAAAAUGCAAAUAUUUUAUCGCACCCGACAUCGCAGCGACCUCUAAAAAUAAUAUUUGGGGAAGAUUGGAUUUCUGGCAUCCUAUUCUUUAAUGGGUAAUGAUCUUAUUUAAGGAGUCGUCACCUAGUAUUAUGGUCUCUAGGAAUUCUAACUGGUCAACAGAGAAUCUAUGGUACGGGAUUGGUUACGUAAAAGGGAAGAUAUUAUCACCUCUUAAACGUUCUGUCUAAGGCAGACUGCAUUGCUGGUUUUGUCUUUAAUUUCUAAACAUUUAUUCGCUUAUGCUAUGAUGAUUUGUUUAUAAUAUUCCUGACUCUAGUGCCAGUGAAUAUUCGAUCUAGAAUAAUUCCAACUCUGGCGUUGGUAAAAAUUCCAACCCCGAAUAAUUUUAACGUUGGUAAAAAUUCCACCAUGAAUAAUUUCAACUCUGGUAUUGGUAAAAAUUGGUAGCUAUAAAAAAAAAUCAAUAUAUUUUCUUAUUUUUUUUAUUUCUGAUCUUGAUAUCAGUGAAUAACUUGACAAAAGUAUUUUUUUUUAAGACAUGCAAAAUUUUUAUUUCUAUACUUUUUAUUUUUUUUUUCUUUUUUUUAGGGGCUGGGUCUGAUCCAGCCUACAUGGCUGGGUAGACCCAACAUUCCUGGUCUGGUCACUGGCCGAAGCCAGUGACCCGGUUGGGUAGUGAAUUAAUUAUAAUUCACUUGCUACUGUAGCAAGUGAAUUAUAAUGCAGGAGGGGAGAGACGAGAGAAGACUUACCUGGUGCAGCAAGGCGUAGCUGGAGACGAUGGCGCACUGCGCUGGACGAGCGGCACUGCCACCUCCUGUUCUUCCUCUCUUCUUCUUUCUCUUCCUCCUUUUCUUCCCCUGUUCGUCCCUGUAUUUCUCUCCUGGAGUGCCCUGUUUCUGGUGCAGUGGCUGCUGAAGAUGGAGCCCUGAAGCUGCUGUUUCUGUAGGCGACGAAAACAGUGGUAACGCUGGUGGUGACUCUUGUCUACUGCUUUCCUUGGUCUUCCUUCUGUGUUUCCUAUGCUCUCCCUCUCUCCAUGGCCUCCUCUGUUUCUUUGAGAAGAAACAGGGGAACGAAAGUCAACUCUUUUUUUUUCUUCACUCCUCGGUUAUGCUCUUUUCGUCUCUGUUUCGUUCUUCUUUGUGUGUUUCUUAUUGUUUUCGGUUUAUACCUCUGUUUCUAUUCGUGCUCCUGCCUCUUUGUUUUUCUCCGUUCUCGAUCGCUCUCUAUCUCUCCUGCCGGUUCCCCUGGCUUUUUCGUGUUACUCCUCAGUUUUUUCCUCUCUUUUUUCUUCUUUGUGGCCUUUGUUUCUUUGAGAAGAAACAGGGGCAAAAUUUGUAAUUGGACCCUGCAUUUCGGCACCUCUUAUAAGUUAGUCCUUGGACUUUAAUCUAUUGCAAAUGUGCCCCCAAUUAAACCCAAACUUUGAUAUUUCUUUCAAUUAAGUUCCUGAUUUCAUUAAUUAAAUUAAUUACAAGCUUAAUUAAGUCUCAAAACUUAUCAAUUCUCCAAUUAAACCCUUGAUUGGAUUUGUUAAAUUAAUUACAAGCUCAAUUAAGUCUCAAAACUUAUCAAUUCUCUAAUUAAGCCCUUGAUUGGAUUAAUUAAACUAGUCAAGAGUUUAAUUAAAUCUUUAAACUUGCAAUCAUGUUGUCCUUAACCCAAAUUUUAAUUCAUUCUUCAUUUAUUUUAUUUUUACUUGUUUUUUUUAUUUUUUAUUAAAUAAAAUAAUAAAAAGUUCAAUAUUAGGUUAUGACAUAUUUAAAUAAUGAGCAUUCAUAAUUUUUCAUGAAUUAUAAGUUAUUCAUGAAAAAAUUAAAUCUACAUGCUGUGAACCUCAAAUCGGUCUCGUGGGCUUCCAAAGCUUCUACAAAAGCCUUCGCGUCCUCCAUUCCUUGAUCAAUGUCACGGAGAUGAAUAUUAUUGUUGUUGUCCAUCGGUUACGAAAUUUGUUAUACUAUGAAAAUUGUUUAAAAAAAAUAUAUGCAAUAUUUUUUCUUUAUUUAAAUUUUGAGAUUAGGGCCUAAUUUUAAAAAAAUAUAUACCGAACUGGUAUAAAGAUGAUGUGUUUUUAAAGUUAUAACUUUAAUCUCACAAUGACAGCAAAGCCAUGACCUCACUGUCACUCUUGUCCUUGCACGGCUGCACGUAUAUAUUUUUUUAACAGUAAAUUGCCAAUCUCAAGUCCACUUAAUUAUAGCCACUAGUGCCCUUAAAAAGGAUAUGAAAAUCAGUCUUUUACAUGCAAUCCCACCUUGAAAUUCUCUAUAGCAAAUAGAGGGAAAAAAAACAGAGCUCCGUCGCAGGAUGAAGAAAGCUGAGUUGGUGUUCAUACCAAUAACAGGUAUAAGCCACCUCCUAUCCUCAGUAGAGGUAGCAAAGCUUCUUCUAGACCGUGAUGAGAGGCUUUCAAUCACCUUCCUCAUCAUGAAAAUACGUUCUGACCCCAAGAUUGAGAGGUUUAUAAAUUCAGUGAGCACAGCCUGUAAUCGUAUCCGCUUCAUUGACUUGCCUAAAGAUGAGCCUGAUCCAAACCAACCCAGGAAGUCUAUCUUUUCUUUGAUUGAAACCCAGAUACCCCAUGUCAAAGAUGAAGUCUCUAAGCUUGUGAGCCAGUCCGAGUCAAGCCCUGACUCGCCUACACUUUCUGGGUUUGUUCUCGAUAUGUUUUGUACACCAAUGAUAGACGUGGCCAAUGAAUUUGGUGUUCCCUCAUAUAUUUUCCUUACGUCAGGUGCAGCUUUCCUUGGCCUCCAAUUUUAUGUUCAGGCUCUUCACGAUGAGCAGAAAGUUGACCCUGCUGAGUUCAAGGGCUCUGAUGCUGAGUUAGUGAUGCCGUGUUUGGCAAAUCCUCUUCCAGCUAAGGUCUUGCCUUCUGUUUUGGUUGACAAAGAGUGGCUGCCAAAUAUGCUCAGUCAAGCUAGAAGGUUUAGAGAAACUAAGGGUAUUAUAAUAAACACAUUUGAAGAGCUGGAAUCUCAUGCGAUCCACUCCUUUUCUAAGGGUAAUACCCCUCCGGUAUAUCCAGUGGGUCCCAUUUUAAACCUUAAUAGAGAUGGUGAUUGUGACGAGGAGUCUGAUAAAUACAAAGACAUCAAGCAAUGGCUUGAUGAUCAGCCCCUAUCCUCAGUAGUGUAUCUAUGCUUCGGGAGCAGGGGGAGUUUCGGAGUGGAUCAGGUGAAGGAAAUUGCAUGGGGGCUAGAGCAGAGCGGGCAUCGAUUCUUGUGGUCUCUACGGAAACCACCACCGGUAGGGAAGAUGGAACUUCCAAGCGAUUACACUAAUCCUCGGGAUGUCUUACCUGAAGGAUUUCUGGAUCGGACGGCUAUCACAGGAAAAAUAAUUGGAUGGGCCCCGCAGACAGAUAUUUUGGCCCAUCCAUCCGUAGGAGGGUUCGUAUCGCACUGUGGAUGGAACUCUAUAUUGGAAAGCAUAUGGUUUGGCGUUCCAAUUGCCGCGUGGCCAUUAUAUGCAGAGCAACAACUGAAUGCCUUUCAAAUGAUUGUUGAGCUCGGAUUGGGAGUGGAGAUUAAAAUGGAUUAUAGAAGAGAGUUUAUCUCGGAUGGUAAUGAAGAUGUCAUUAGUGCCGGGGAGAUCGAGAGAGGAGUAAGGUGUUUAAUGGAGCUUUGCGAUGAGAAGAGGGAGAAGUUGAAGGAGAUGAGAGAGAAGAGCAGGAAGGCUUUGGAGAACGGUGGAACCUCGUUCACAUGGCUAGGUCGUUUCAUUCAAGAUACGGUGGACCACGUACCAUGAUUAAAUGGUACUCUCUUCGUAUUAUUUAAUACUGUGUCUUUGCGUUGAAAUAUUGUCUUUCAAAAUAAAUAAAUAAAUAUGGUUCAUUGAAAUCAGAGUUUUACCAUGCAUAGUAAAAUGAUUUGUGCAUUGAAAUUAUCACUUUAGCCCUAUUAAGAAAAACUCAAUGAACUUCAUCUCAAGGACAAAUAUUCUUAAAAAGAUAUUAAACUUAUAUAUAUUAAGCCAGGGUUGGAAAAAGGAUAUUAAACAAGGAAAUUUUUUAAAGAGUGAUCGAUAAUAAUUUUUUAAAUAAAUUCUUUGAAUAUAUAUAUAUAUAUAUAUAUAGAAAAUUGAGAGAUUUAGAAUCCUUUAAUUGAGUGAUUCCAGGAAGCCAUUUUUUUUUUUUUUUGUUGGAGUUGAAGUAGAUGGGUUAGAGUCAUUUCAUUUUUAUAUAUUGAAUUUGAAUUAUGAGUUUUAUUUCCCUUAAUAUACCCAAAAUACCGCAACCACAUACUUGUCUUUCCACUAAAUUUAUUCAAUUUGGAGAGGGAGAUGUAGUAGGUGAUUAGAGACUUUAAUACACAACCUGUUAAGUUAAAUUUUGUUGAAUUGCUAAUAAUUUUUUUAAUAAAAAAAUUUGGCUUGAUGUGACCUGAUCAGGAUAUAAAAAUAAUUUAGGUUGGCUAUAAAAAUAUAAUUUGAUUAAAAAAAUUAAAAUAAUAUUUUUAUAAAAAAAUAUUAAAAUAAUAACAUCUUGAUACAGAUCAACUUAAAUUAAUCUAUAAAUUUUCCAAUUAUAAUUAUAAAAUUAUUAUAAUAAAAUUUAAUUUUUAAUCAAUUUUAAAUAAUAAAAUUAAAAAAAUCUAAACAUAACAUAAUUUAAUCCAAAUUAACCUAUUAAUCCAAAUUAACCUUCUUUUCCUCGCUCAAGCUAGAAGGUUCAGGGAAAGUAAGGGUAUUAAACACAAAUAAAGAGCUGGAAUCUCAUGCGAUCAACUCCUUUUCUAAUGGCAAUACCCCUCCCGUGUGUCAGUGGGUCCCAUUUUAAACAAUGGCUUGAUGAUCAGCCUCUAUCAUCAGUGGUGCAUAUAUGCUUCGGGAGCAUGGGAAGUUUCGGUGUGGAUCAGGUGAAGGAAAUCGCAUGUGGGCUAGAGCAGGGCGGCCAUCGAUUCUUGUGGUCUCUACGUAAACCACCACCGAAAGGCAGGAUGGAACUUCUUCCAAGCGAUUACACUAAUCCUCGGGAUGUCUUACCUAAAGGAUUUUUUUUGAUCGGACGACUAACAUUGGAAAAAUAAUUGGAUGGGCUCCACAGAUGAAUAUUUUGGCUCAUCCUUCGGUGGGAGGGUUUGUAUCGUACCGUGGAUGGAAUUCUAUAUUGGAAAGCAUGGUGUUCCAACUUCCAAUUGCUGCCUGGCAGAGCACAAACUAAAGCUUUUCAAAUAGUUGUAGAGUUAGGGUUGGGAGUGGAGAUUAAAAUAAUUAAAAGAAUUGAACUCGGAUGGUAAAAGCCUAAUUAUUUUAAUUUUUUUUAUGUUUAUUUUGAACACUUUAAAGAAAGAACUAGAUAAAAUGUUAAAAUAUUUUUUCUCUUUCAUAAAUAAUAUUUUUAUAUAUUUUUCAAAAAAGUCAAAAUCAACAAAAUAGCUUUUACCAUCACCAUCACAAUAUAAUUAGCUUUUCAAACGAUUUUUUUCCAUUAGAAUAGAUAUUAUAAAAAAAAACUAUAUUUAUACUAUUUAAAAUGCUAUUUUAUCAAUUUAACUUUUUAAAAUAGUAUUUUUCAUUGGAGAUGCUCUUACAGCAAAGCCAUGACCUCAGUCUUUAAUUUUGUGCCUCACGUGAUUGGGAUGUAAUUCAGUUAGUCAUAUUAUAAAUUUAUUCGAAUCUCGUAAAUUUCAAGGUUAUUAAAGAUUUAUAUGAUUGUUAAUUUUAAAAUUAAUUAAGAUACGUGUAAGGCGGAACAAAUAUUUACAUUAAUGAAAUAAAAAAAUCUUGUGCUACACAUGCAUGAUAUUUUUAACAAAGAAUAGUCAAGUACACUUCAUUAUAGCCCCUUAUAGUGCACCUAAGAAGGACACGAAGAUCAGUCUUUUGCAUUCCUCCUUGAACUCUCUAGCUACUCAGUUGCAUAAAUGAAGAAAGCUGAGCUAGUCGCCAUACCAGCACCUGGUAGAAGCCACCUUAUGUCCACCUUAGUCUCCAUACGGCAAUUCAUUUUUUGGGGUCUUUCUGACGAAUUGUAAAAGCAGUCCACAAUGACAGCAAAGCCAUGACCUCACUCUCACUCUUGGCCUGCACGGCUGCACGUAUAUCUUUUUCAACAAUAAAUUGCCAAUCUCAAGUCCACUUAAUUAUAGCCACAAACAGUGCCUUUAAAAGGACACUGAGGCUUUUGGCUCGGCACUGGGAGGAGCUUUGUUUCUUUCCUGAGUUCGAAUCUUCAUGUGUAUGUUUGUUAUUUUCAUGGUGUUUUAUAUAUCUAUUAGGUUUGCAGGGUAUUUAGUAGUCGUGAAAUUAAUCGUGGUGAAGAAAAAAAAUCAGUCUUUUACAUGCAAUCCCACCUGGAAAUUCUCUAGCAAAUAGAGGAAAAAAAAAAAAAUAAGUCGCAGAAUGAAGAAAGCUGAGCUGGUCUUCAUACCAAAGUGUUGAUGAUUAAACCAAAGCAUAGAUCUAGAUAAUAUAGAUUAUAGUUGUUAAACUGGGUUCAGUAAUCUACUCAAAAUAAAAUUUAAAUCACUAAGUUACAAGGUCUCAUGUCAAUUAUUUUUAUUAAAAUAUAGGUGUUAUUUGGUUCUAGAUUUUUUUUAUGAAAAAAAGAAAUUCUUAGUGUUGACGUGUCUAGGUGUGACCUAGUUAAUAGGGUUAUUAAAUAAGUUUUUUUGUGUGUCUAUAUAUAACUUUAACUUGGCCCAGAUCAAAUUUAAAAUCCUUACUUUUUUAGAUUAUUUUAUCAAGUUAAACUAAGUUUAAUCAUUAUGACAUUUGGUUUUUUUUUCUUGAUUUAAAUUUCAAGAUUAGUGUUUAUUUAAAAAAAAAAUACACCUCACUGAUAAAAGAUGAUGUGUUUUUUUAGUUAUUCAUAACCUAAAUUUAAUCUCUAUUAACAUCAAUCCUAAAACAUCAAUAUAUAAGCAUAGAAAAUUCAGCCUAUUGUAAAAGAGAUUUAAAUUUCUGACAGGGACGGCAUCCCAUUUUUUUGGGUCUUCUCGACGAAUUGUAAAAGCAGUCCACAAUCACAGCAAAGCCAUGACCUCACUCUUAUUCUUGUCCUGCUCGAAUGUAGUUUUGAACAGUACAUUGCCAAUCUCAAGUCCACUUAAUUAUAGCCACAAACAGUGCCUUUAAAAAGGAUAUGAAAAUCAGUCUCUUACAAGCAAUCCCACCUCGAAAUUCUCUGGCAAAUAAAGAAAAAAAAAGGAGCUCAGUAGCAGAAUGAAGAAAGCUGAGCUGGUCUUCAUACCAACACCAGGUAUCAGCCACCUCGUAUCCACAGUAGAGGUAGCAAAGCUUCUUGUUGACCGUGAUGAGAGGCUUUCAGUCACCUUCCUAAUCAUGAAAAUACGUUCUGACCCCAAGAUUGAUAGGUUUAUAAAUUCAAUGAGUACAGCCUGUAAUCGUAUCCGCUUCAUUGACUUGCCUAAAGAUGAGCCUGAUCCAAACCAACCCAGGAAGUUUCUCUUUUCUAUGUUUGAAGCCCAGAUACCCCAUGUCAAAGAUGAAGUCUCUAAGCUUGUGAGCCUGUCCGAGUCAAGCCCUGACUCGCCUACACUUUCUGGGUUUGUUCUCGAUAUGUUUUGUACACCAAUGAUAGACGUGGCCAAUGAAUUUGGUGUUCCCUCAUAUAUUUUCCUUACGUCAGGUGCAGCUUUUCUUGGCCUCCAAUUUUAUGUUCAGGCUCUUCACGAUGAGCAGAAAGUUGACCCUACUGAGUUCAAGGGCUCGGAUGCUGAGUUGGUCAUGCCGUGUUUGGCAAAUCCUGUUCCAGCUAAGGUCUUGCCUUCUGUUUUGCUUAACAAAGAGUGGCUGCCAAAUAUGCUCCGUCAAGCUAGAAGGUUUAGAGAAACUAAGGGUAUUAUAAUAAACACAUUUGAAGAGCUGGAAUCCCAUGCGAUCAACUCCUUUUCUAAAGGUAAUAGCCCUCCGGUAUAUCCAGUGGGUCCCAUUUUAAACCUUAAUAGAGAUGGUGAUUGUGACGAGGAGUCUGAUAAAUACAAAGACAUCAAGCAAUGGCUUGAUGAUCAGCCCCUAUCCUCAGUAGUGUAUCUAUGCUUCGGGAGCAUGGGGAGUUUCGGAGUGGAUCAGGUGAAGGAAAUUGCUUAUGGGCUAGAGCAGAGCGGGCACCGAUUCUUGUGGUCUCUACGUCAACCACCACCGGAAGGGAAGAUGGAAGCUCCAAGCGAUUACACUGAUCCUCGGGAUGUCUUACCUGAAGGAUUUUUGGAUCGGACGGCUAACACAGGAAAAAUAAUUGGAUGGGCCCCACAGACAGAUAUUUUGGGCCAUCCAUCCGUAGGAGGGUUUGUAUCGCACUGUGGAUGGAACUCUAUAUUGGAAAGCAUAUGGUUUGGCGUUCCGAUUGCCGCGUGGCCAUUAUAUGCAGAGCAACAACUCAAUGCCUUUCAAAUGAUUGUUGAGCUCGGAUUGGGAGUGGAGAUUAAAAUGGAUUAUAGAAGAGAGUUUAUCUCGAAUGGUAAUGAAACUGUCAUUAGUGCCGGGGAGAUCGAGAGAGGAGUAAGGUGUUUAAUGGAGCUUUGCGAUGAGAAGAGGGAGAAGUUGAAGGAGAUGAGUGGAAAGAGCAGGAAGGCUUUGGAGAACGGUGGAUCCUCGUUCACAUGGUUAGGUCGUUUCAUUCAAGAUACGAUGGACCACCUACAAUGAUUAAAUUACUAGAUGCCAUCCCGGUGCCGCAGGCUUGUGGUAUAUUUAUAUAUUAUUGUAGAUUUAUGAAAAAAAUAAAAAUAUAUAUAUAAAAAGAGAAAAAUUGUUGCAAAUGUUUUCAAAAAAAAAAGUAAAAUUUUUAAUCAGUUUAAUAUUUAAAAAAUAAAAUAAUAAAAGAAAAUUUUUAAAAAAUUCACAUAAAAAAAAAACGAAAGGAAAGAAAAACUUUGUAAUAAAAUACUGUAAUAAUUUAUAGUGUUUCAUAAAAAAAUUCAUAAUUAUAAUUCUUAACUAACUCAAUAGUUAAAAUAAUAAAAUUAAUAAAAAUAAUUUUAAAAAAUUUCGUAACAAUAAAAAAUUAUAUGGUGGAAAACUGUAAUAAUCUACUCUACUUGACUUGGGCUAGGGCUUGAAUUGGCCUCUUGACUUUUUGGAGCUUGGGCAUUUCUUUGCUGGGUAUUCUUUUUCUUCAAUUGAACUUCUCUCUGCCCAUACAAACACAAAAAAAGAUAAAAAAAUAAUAAAAAAAAACAUGUAGGAAAAGUUAAAACUAAAUUCUAAAUCAGUUAAAUAUUAAAAAAAACAUUCGGGAAAGAUAAUUUAAAAAAAAACAUGUAGAUAAACACUGUAGCAAAACAAAAACCAUGUGGGGAAACGUUAUUACAGUCCAUAGUGUUUUUUUAAAAAAAAACUACGAAGCAAAAUUCAUAACCAGCUUAAUAUGAAAAAAAAAAAUCGACAAAGAUUAUUUUUAAAAAAAUCAUGAAAAAAAAGAAAACAAAUGUGUGAAAACAUUGCAGUAAUCCAAAAUGUUUUUUAAAAAAACUACAGAAUUAAAUUUUCAACUAGUUCAAUAUUAAAAAACAUUGACAAAGAUAAUUUAAAAAAAAACACAAAAAGAAAAAAGAAGAUAAUCUUAGGGGAUAAAAAGAAAAAAAAUGUAAAAUAAAAAAAAAAGGUAAAAACGAUAAAAAAAAAAUUAGGGAAAGAUUAAAAAAAAAGGGAAAAAAAAAGACAAAAUACAAAAGUAACUGAAAAAACAAAAACAACACAAAACAAAAUUAAAAAUAUUAAAAAACAAAAACAUGUAAGGAAAGUGUUUUAAAGUUUUUGUUUAAGUUGUUUUAUUGUUAUAAUUAUAGCUGUCGGAUCUUCUUGGGAAUUUAUACGAAAAAUCCAAGAGGCUAUGAAGUGAAUCUGGAUGCACUAUUUUUAUAGAAAAACUAAUAUUUUAUUAUUUUCUUAUGUUGAUCAACAAGAUUAUUAGGGUUGGAUUUAGCAACGACAAGGAGAACGAUGUCGUAUGAAUUUGAUUUAAUUAAAUAUCUUUGUAAAACUGAGCCUAAAUCAGGCUUUCAAUUUCAAAUUUCUUGUACCAAUCCACUAAACUAACCCUUAAAAGGUUCAUUACCUGGGAAGUCAUUCUAAAAUGACGAAAUGAUAGUCACUUUUCUGACAAAAAUUCAUUGAAAAAGUCAAAACAUCUACGACGCAGAUCUCCAAUGUUUUCAUUUUCUAAAACCAUCACCAAAAGCUCUUUUUUUUUUUUUCCGGAUGGUUAUCGUUAUUAUGUUAUUUUUGUUGAUGUCCACACAAAAUAUAUAUGGUAUUAUCCAUUUAUUGUAAAAUCUGAUGUUUAUUCUAUUUUUCAUCAAUUUUAAACUUUUAUCGAGCAUCAAUUUUCAUCAAAAAUAAAAUAUGUUCAAACUGAUUGGGGCAGUGACUCUCCAUUUUCUUUCAAACCAUUAGUAUUUAUCACCAUUUGAUAUGUCCUCACACUUGCGAACAAAAUGGAAUAGUAAAAAGACAUCAUUGACAUAUUGUGGAAACCGACCUUACUCUUUUAGGCCAAUGUAAAUCUCCAUUCCGCUUUUGGAAUUAUGCUUUUGAAACUUUGGUUUAUCUCAUCAAUCGCAUGCCUAUUCUUGUUCUUGCAAAUCGAUCUCCAUAUGAUUGUUUGUGUCAUUGUUCUACUUAUUAUCAUUUUUUGCGUACUUUUGGAUGUCUCUGUUUUCCCUUUUUGCGUCCUUAUAAUAAUCAUAAACCGGAUUUUCAGUCUUUUCCAUGUGUGUUUUAUGGCUACAGUUCUUCUCACCUUGGUUAUCGAUGUUUUGACAUUGAAUCUUAUCACAUGUAUAUCUUCUGUUAUGUCUGUUUUCAUGAACAUGUUUUUUCGUUUGAUAAUUCUGAACAUAUUACAUAGGUUUUGGCUCAAAACCACACACUAUUUCCUGCUACCAUCCUCCCAAAUCUGACCCACACCCCAUUAUUCACCGAUCAUGACACACCCCAUUCCGCCUCAGCCUCUACCCUGCAUUCACCUCCUACUAAAACACCACAGUCUCUACCUUUCACUUGCCGAUCACCAUAUACAUCUUUAUCUCACCAUUCUGUUGCAGGUACAUGUUGUAGAUUAGUUUUCCCUACACUCCAGCACGAUGUCUCUGCUAGUACUGGGAAACCCUUUGGUUCCUCCUUUGCUUCCCCUUUAUUUUGCCAGUCACCUGGCUUCUGAAGACUCUGUCUUUGUUGCCAACCUUGUUGUUGUUGGCAGCCCUCUGCUUGAGGCAACUUCUUCACCUAGUUUGAAUCUAGUGAUUGAUCUCUCCGCUUAUCCACUACAGCAGGACACCUCUGUGACACCAACCUCCGCUGCAUCACCAUCGUUUCUCAGCUGCCACCUUAUGGUCCUUAGACCGCGACAGCCCAAAACCGCAAAUAUGAUGGCCUCUACUGCAGCUGAUACAGUUGCCACUUGAGUAUUGCUAUCUCCUUCUUCUGAACCAAUUGCCUUCUCUGAUUUAGAUAAAUAUGUUGAUUGGCAUGAUGUUAUAUGUGAAGAGAUCAAGGCAUUGCGUUCCAACCACACUUGGUCCCUAAUGCCCCUUCAUCCUUCGAUGAAUGUUGUUGGCAAUCGAUGAAUAUAUCGGAUCAAACAUCGUGUUGAUGGUAGCAUUGAAUGUUAUAAAGCCCGUCUAGUUGCUAAAGGCUUUACCCAACAGGAAAGCAUUGAUUAUUCUGAAACUUUAGUCCAGUUAUUAAGCAGGCCACCAUCAGAUUAGUCUUGUCCAUUACGGUUUCACGUAAUUAGAAGAUUCAUAAGCUCGAUAUUCAUAAUGCAUUUCUCAAUGGUGUUCUUAUUGAAGAAGUCUACAUGAAGCAACCUCCAGAUUUUAUUGACCCUACUCUUCCAUCUCAUGUGUGCAAAUUGUACAAGUCAUUAUAUGGUUUAAAACAGACACCAAGGGCAUGGUACACCCAUCUGAGUAAGUUUUUACUCUCCAUUGGUUUCCUUGCCUUCAAGGUUGACACCUCCUUGUUUUAUCUUAUUUGAUGGUACUAAUAUCUUUUUUCUCCUAGUAUAUGUUGAUGAUAUUCUACUUAUGGGUAGCAACUCUGUCAUGUUUCAUCACCUAAUCCAGUUACUCAGCUUAGAAUUCAAGCUUCGUGACUUAGGUAUUGUUCACUAUUGUCUGGGUAUUGAAGUUCAGUAUACAAGUAUAGGUUUAAUGUUGCGCCAACACAAAUAUAUUAUUCACAUCCUCACUCGAGGUGGUAUGCCUUCUUGUUAACCCGUUGAUACUCUAGGUUCCCUCCAUCUCUGCUCCUUGGUGCGAUCUAUCUCUCAGCAAAUCCUAUCUUUCAUGCUUGUAUUAAACAUAUUGAGGUAGAUUAUCACUUUGUCUGCAAAGAAGAAAAUUCAUAUUCGCUUUAUCCCUUCUCGGGAUCAACUUGUUGAUGUCUUCAACAAAUCACUUUCUGUUGUGUCUUUUACUGCUUUCAGGUUUAAGCUUCGGGUCGAUCCUCAACCCUCAACUUGAAGGGACAUAUUAUAGAAUGUAUAGCAUGUAUAUCUUUCAAUAAAAAAUUAAUGUAGAAUUAUUUUAAUGUUAUAAUCCCUAUAAUAACGAUCGUAUUCUACCUUACAUGUAUAUAUCAAAAAAAUUGAUUAAUAACAACCUAAAUCAUUAUGUUAUUCUCGAUUUCUAUUAUCAUCAAUUAAAAAAAAAUAGAAAAUUCAGCCCAUAAUACGAUAGGGAGGGCAAAAUAUUCAGCCCAUAAUAACUGAGCAACAGCUAAUAAGGGUUCAAAAAACGUUGUCUUUUCAUGACUUAAAUUACUGACAGGAACGGCAUCGCUUUUUUUUGGGUCUUCUUGACGAAUUGUAAAAGCAGUCCACAAUGACAGCAAAGCCAUGACCUCACUCUCACUCUUGUCCUGCACGUAUAUAUUUUUGAGCAGUAAAUUGCCAAUCUCAAGUCCACUUAAUUAUAGCCACAAGUAGUGCCCUUAAAAAGGAUAUGAAAAUCAGUCUUUUACAUGCAAUCCCACCUUGAAAUUCUCUAGCAAAUAAAGAAAAAAUUAAAGAGCUCAGUCGCAGAAUGAAGAAAGCUGAGCUGGUCUUCAUACCAACACCAGGUAUCAGCCACCUCCUAUCCACAGUAGAGGUAGCAAAGCUUCUUCUAGACCGUGAUGAGAGGCUUUCAAUCACCUUCCUCAUCAUGAAAAUACGUUCUGACCCCAAGAUUGAGAGGUUUAUAAAUUCAGUGAGUACAGCCUGUAAUCGUAUCCGCUUCAUUGACUUGCCUAAAGAUGAGCCUGAUCCAAACCAACCCAGGAAGUUUCUCUUUUCUUUGAUUGAAACCCAGAUACCCCAUGUCAAAGAUGAAGUCUCUAAGCUUGUGAGCCAGUCCGAGUCAAGCCCUGACUCGCCUACACUUUCUGGGUUUGUUCUCGAUAUGUUUUGUACACCAAUGAUGGACGUGGCCAAUGAAUUUGGUAUUCCCUCAUAUAUUUUCCUUACGUCAGGUGCAGCUUCUCUUGGCGUCCAAUUUUAUGUUCAGGCUCUUCACGAUGAGCAGAAAGUUGACCCUACUGAGUUCAAGGGCUCUGAUGCUGAGUUGGUCAUGCCGUGUUUGGCAAAUCCUGUUCCAGCUAAGGUCUUGCCCUCUGUUUUGCUUAACAAAGAGCGGCUGCCGCAUAUGCUCCGUCAAGCUAGAAGGUUUAGAGAAACUAAGGGUAUUAUAAUAAACACAUUUGAAGAGCUGGAAUCGCAUGCGAUCAACUCCUUUUCUAAAGGUAAUAUCCCUCCGGUAUAUCCAGUGGGUCCCAUUUUAAACCUUAAUAGAGAUGGUGAUUGUGACGAGGAGUCUGAUAAAUACAAAGACAUCAAGCAAUGGCUUGAUGAUCAGCCCCUAUCCUCAGUAGUGUAUCUAUGCUUCGGGAGCAUGGGGAGUUUCGGAGUGGAUCAGGUGAAGGAAAUUGCUUAUGGGCUAGAGCAGAGCGGGCACCGAUUCUUGUGGUCUCUACGUCAACCACCACCGGAAGGGAAGAUGGAAGCUCCAAGCGAUUACACUGAUCCUCGGGAUGUCUUACCUGAAGGAUUUUUGGAUCGGACGGCUAACACAGGAAAAAUAAUUGGAUGGGCCCCGCAGACAGAUAUUUUGGGCCAUCCAUCCGUAGGAGGGUUCGUAUCGCACUGUGGAUGGAACUCUAUAUUGGAAAGCAUAUGGUUUGGCGUUCCGAUUGCCGCGUGGCCAUUAUAUGCAGAGCAACAACUCAAUGCCUUUCAAAUGAUUGUUGAGCUCGGAUUGGGAGUGGAGAUUAAAAUGG
rnacentral:lncRNA from 1 species